rnacentral:rRNA from 1 species
UGCAGUCGAACGGUGAAGCCCUUCGGGGUGGAUCAGUGGCGAACGGGUGAGUAACACGUGGGCAAUCUGCCCUGCACUCUGGGACAAGCCCUGGAAACGGGGUCUAAUACCGGAUAUGACCUUCCUCCGCAUGGGGGUUGGUGGAAAGCUCCGGCGGUGCAGGAUGAGCCCGCGGCCUAUCAGCUUGUUGGUGGGGUAAUGGCCUACCAAGGCGACGACGGGUAGCCGGCCUGAGAGGGCGACCGGCCACACUGGGACUGAGACACGGCCCAGACUCCUACGGGAGGCAGCAGUGGGGAAUAUUGCACAAUGGGCGCAAGCCUGAUGCAGCGACGCCGCGUGAGGGAUGACGGCCUUCGGGUUGUAAACCUCUUUCAGCAGGGAAGAAGCGCAAGUGACGGUACCUGCAGAAGAAGCACCGGCUAACUACGUGCCAGCAGCCGCGGUAAUACGUAGGGUGCGAGCGUUGUCCGGAAUUAUUGGGCGUAAAGAGCUCGUAGGCGGCCUGUCGCGUCGGAUGUGAAAGCCCGGGGCUUAACCCCGGGUCUGCAUUCGAUACGGGCAGGCUAGAGUGUGGUAGGGGAGAUCGGAAUUCCUGGUGUAGCGGUGAAAUGCGCAGAUAUCAGGAGGA